AAAGGAACUAGUCUGCAGUUAACGAUCGCCCUGUGCAGCAGCCGCGGUAAUUCCAGCUCCAAUAGCGUAUAUUAAAGUUGUUGUGGUUAAAAAGCUCGUAGUUGGAUCUCGGCGGACUGAGGGCGGUUUGCUUGCUAGUAUUACUGCCCUAUAGUCCGUAGUUUUGCCAGAGGUUUCGGGGUGCUCUUAAUCGAGUGUCCCGGGAUGCUGGCAGGUUUACUUUGAAAAAAUUAGAGUGCUCAAAGCAGGCUAUUACGCCUGAAUAUUCGUGCAUGGAAUAAUAGAAUAGGAAGUCGUUUCUAUUUUGUUGGUUUUCGGAAAUCGACUUAAUGAUUAAUAGGGACAGUCGGGGGCAUUUGUAUUCAAACGACAGAGGUGAAAUUCUUGGACCGUUUGAAGACAAACUACUGCGAAAGCAUUUGCCAAGAAUGUUUUCAUUAAUCAAGAACGAAAGUUAAAGGUUCGAAGGCGAUUAGAUACCGCCCUAGUUUUAACCAUAAACGAUGCCAGCUAGCGAUCUGCGGACGUUUUUUUUGUAGACUCCGCAGGAAGCUUCCGGGAAACCAAAGCAUUUGGGUUCCAGGGGAAGUAUGGUUGCAAAGCUGAAACUUAAAGGAAUUGACGGAAGGGCACCACCAGGAGUGGAGCCUGUGGCUUAAUUUGACUCAACACGGGAAAUCUCACCAGGCCCGGACACUGGAAGGAUUGACAGAUUGAUAGCUCUUUCUUGAUUCGGUGGGUGGUGGUGCAUGGCCGUUCUUAGUUGGUGGAGUGAUUUGUCUGGUUAAUUCCGAUAACGAACGAGACUCUGUCCUGCUAAAUAGUGUCUGCUUCUCUUUUGAGCAGACAAUUCUUCUUAGAGGGACUGGCGACUCUUAGUCGCACGAGAUUGAGCAAUAACAGGUCUGUG
rnacentral:rRNA from 1 species